rnacentral:rRNA from 1 species
CCAGAGAACUUAGCAGAGAUGCUUUGGUGCCUUCGGGAACUCUGAGACAGGUGCUGCAUGGCUGUCGUCAGCUCGUGUUGUGAAAUGUUGGGUUAAGUCCCGCAACGAGCGCAACCCUUAUCCUUUGUUGCCAGCGGUCCGGCCGGGAACUCAAAGGAGACCGCCAGUGAUAAACUGGAGGAAGGUGGGGAUGACGUCAAGUCAUCAUGGCCCUUACGAGUAGGGCUACACACGUGCUACAAUGGCGCAUACAAAGAGAAGCGACCUCGCGAGAGCAAGCGGACCUCAUAAAGUGCGUCGUAGUCCGGAUUGGAGUCUGCAACUCGACUCCAUGAAGUCGGAAUCGCUAGUAAUCGUGGAUCAGAAUGCCACGGUGAAUACGUUCCCGGGCCUUGUACACACCGCCCGUCACACCAUGGGAGUGGGUUGCAAAAGAAGUAGGUAGCUUAACCUUCGGGAGGGCGCUUACCACUUUGUGAUUCAUGACUGGGGUGAAGUCGUAACAAGGUAGGCGUAGUGCU